CGGAGGAGCUUGAACGCCCCGCAUCAUUUAAAUCCCCUGUCUGGGAGCAUUUUGGCUUCCCUGUCAAAUAUAAUGAUGAAGGAAAGAGGUUGGUGGAUAAAACCGUGACGGCGUGUAGGCACUGUGGCACAAGAAAGCCAUAUGACAGCGGUAACACAUCAAGCAUGGCGACGCAUUUGAAGCGACAUCACCCCGGUGUUUUACUGACAGGAGUGAAAACGAAGGCUGCUCAACAACCGCUUAUCACCGCGGCAUUUAAGCAGCCCCUUGAUGUACAAUCAGACCGGGCUAAAGCCAUCACAAACGCUAUCGGUGUGUUUAUAGGUGCAGACAUGAGGCCAUAUUCGGUUGUGCAAAACGAGGGCUUUAAACACAUGCUGAAAGUGCUUGAGCCACGUUACAACAUCCCGUCGCGCACCCACUUCAGCGAAAAGGUCGUGCCAGAUCUUUAUAAGCAGGAGAAGAAAAAAGUUGUGGAUGAACUAGCGCAAGCAUCCUCUAUUUCGCUUACGACAGACGGGUGGACGUCCAGAGGAACGCAGAGCUAUUUGACGAUAACCGCUCACUUCAUCACAGCAGACUGGGAGAUGAGAAGUCCGGUGCUGCAGACACGCCCCCUAUACGAAAGUCACACAGGCACUCAUCUUGCGCAGGUACUAACACAAGCAGUGGAGGAAUGGAAGAUAAAGAGGCCCACUACUAAUAUCCCAGUCACAACUGAUAAUGCCAAAAAUCAAAUAAAUGCAGUGAAUGAGGCAGGACUGGGCCCACAGAUAGGGUGCUUUGCACAUGUAGUAAAUUUGGCAUCACAAAAGGGAAUCUCAGUCAAUAGGAUGGACCGCCUCCUUGGGAGGAUCAGGAAGGUUGUUUCCUACUUUCACCGAAGCACAACAGCUGCUCAUGUGCUUAAGACAAAGCAAGAAAUGUUAAAGUUGCCUACUCAUAAGCUCAUGCAUGACGUUCCAACAAGGUGGAACUCCACUUAUGAUAUGUUGGAGCGUUAUCUGGAGCAGCAGGCAGCUAUAUACUCUGCAUUGACCGACAAGACCCUAAAGAAAAAUAUCAAAGACAUCAUCACCCUAUCAGAUGAUGAUGUGAGAGUGGCAGAGUAGGUUCUCCAGGUGCUUAAACCACUCAAAACUGUUACAUCUCUGCUGAGCACUGAAACUUCACCAUCUGUGUCAAUGAUCCUGCCUCUGAAAACAAGGAUUCUACAAUCCAUGGCUCCAAGUGUGGACGACAGCACGAUCACUCGAGAUGUCAAGACUGCCAUUAGAGAGGACCUGGAGCCCAGAUACACUUCACCCCCUACUCUACAGGACUACCUUCACAGAUCUACUGCCCUGGAUCUGAGGUUCAAGUCCCUGUCUCACAUGGACCCUGCUCUACGCCAGAGGAUAUACAGUGACCUCACCACUGAGAUUGUGAGCCGUCUGGGCACUGAAGACUGUGAUGAGGGUCAAGCUACAGAACCAACAGGAGCAAACUUGGACACAUCUCCUCCAAAAAAGAAGUCAGCGAUGGAAGAGCUUUUUGGUGAGACCUUUGCCAGCAAAGACAUGGACAGCAAAACUCCUGCUGACAUCAUCAAAGAGGAGGUGGCAUCCUACCUGGCAGCAAGCUGCAUUACAGUGGAUGGUGAUCCACUGACAUGGUGGAAAAGCAAUGAGUGUAAAUACCCUCAUAUUGCGAAGAUGGCAAGAUGCUAUCUCGCUGUGCCAGGCUCUUCAGUUCCUUCUGAAAGAGUGUUCUCAACAGCAGGGGACAUAGUGACUGCAAAGAGGUCCACACUCUCCCCAGACAAUGUAGACAUCCUUGUGUUUUUGAAAAAGAAUUUGAAAUUAUAAGCUCAGGUAUGCUUUGCUUUCUUUCUUUUAUUUAUCUUUGAUUAUGUGGACAUAGGCUUUAUUUCAUUAUCCAUGUUUCAAGGAAGAUGAUGUGCCAGUUCUUAUGUUGCACUUUAAGUUGUUUUUUAUCAAUGGUCAUUGUUCAUUGGUCCAUGUUAAAAGGAAGGAGACAUGCCUUUUAUGUUGCACUUUAAGUUGUUUUUUAUUAAUGGUCAAUGGUCAUUGUUUAUUGGUCCAUGUUUAAAGGAAGGAGACAUGCCUUUUAUG